rnacentral:rRNA from 1 species
UAGGGAAUCUUCGGCAAUGGGGGGAACCCUGACCGAGCAACGCCGCGUGAGUGAAGAAGGUUUUCGGAUCGUAAAGCUCUGUUGUUAAGGAAGAACGAGUGUGAGAAUGGAAAGUUCAUACUGUGACGGUACUUAACCAGAAAGGGACGGCUAACUACGUGCCAGCAGCCGCGGUAAUACGUAGGUCCCGAGCGUUGUCCGGAUUUAUUGGGCGUAAAGCGAGCGCAGGCGGUUAGAUAAGUCUGAAGUUAAAGGCAGUGGCUCAACCAUUGUAGGCUUUGGAAACUGUUUAACUUGGGUGCAGAAGGGGAGAGUGGAAUUCCAUGUGUAGCGGUGAAAUGCGUGGGUAUAUGGAGGAACACCGGUGGCGAAAGCGGCUCUCUGGUCUGUAACUGACGCUGAGGCUCGAAAGCGUGGGGAGCGAACAGG